CCCACACUCAGGAAGAAGGUUUCUUAAUUGAGAUCUGUUAUCUGCAAGACCAUGAGGCCCACAGCUUGGCUUCACAGGACAUGCAAACCACAGGUGGCUACACUGUGCCCUUUGCUUCUCUGUGAGGCUGCCAUAGCACUGGCUCCCAGGGGCCCUACGCGUGAAGAGGGAAGCAAAUGGCUAUUGGUAAAAUGUCAAUUCACCAAUUGACCCACCUGGUAAAAGCCCAAAUGAAAGGCUGAAUGGUUAAGACUGAUGAGUGAUCAAUUCUCCAAAUUAAGACAUUUAUAGGAGUUCAUAAAUGAGUUCAGCAGCCUUUGGGUAUUUUUUUUUUUUAAGUUUGUGUUGUCUACAGUUUUUAUUCUGGAAUCAUCCUCAGAUUUUUUUUCCAAACUUGUUAACUGGCCUUAUUUUGAUGCUGAAUUUGGAUGCUUUAUAUUUCAGCCACUGAACACUUCUCAUAAUAUUUUGUGCAAUAUGUGUGUUUACAUCUUUGGUUAUUUUGUAAGAUAAGUUUUAAAUUGGACAGAAUAAAAUAGGAGCAUACAUCUAUACACAUCUCCCACUAUUUAGCAUUUAAUUUAUUUUCUUUGAUGUAAUUUUUAUUAAGGUAUAAUCAGGAAUAAAAUGCUCAAACCAAUAUGUGGACUGCUUGAUGAAUUUUCCAUCACCCAAGAAAGCUUCCUCGUGCUCCUUUCCAACUUAUUUCUGUUCAAGAGGUAACCACAUUUCUGAUUUCUAUCAUCAUUGAUAAGUUUUGUUUAUUCCUGAAUAUCAUAGAAGUAGACUUAUGUGCCACCUUUUAUUAAUUAAUAUUCCUUGAAAAUUGAUAUUUUUUGAAAUGCAUUCAUGCAGCUGUGUUCACUUUUUCUUACUGCUGAAGGGUGUUGCCUUCUGUAAUGGACCAGGAUUCUCUAUUUUCUUUUAGAGCAAUUUCGCUGACACCAGUCUUCAACUCUAGUAAAUAAAGCUGCAUGGAAUAUUCUUGUAGCAAUUCUUUGUGAAUGUGAAUUAACUUCCCUUAGGUAUAGGCAUAGGAGUGGGAUUGCUGACUUAUGCUGUAGGUGCCUGUUUAACAUUUUGGGGAAACAAUCUAACUCUUCUCUGGAGUAGCUUCUGAUACAUUAUGCUAAGGGAUGCGAGCUUCCCGGUGCCCACCCUCACCACAGUUCAUUCUCAGUCUUUUCAAUCCUUCCGUUCUAGUGAGUCUGUAGUGGAGUCUUUUGAUGGUACAUUACUGAGCCUGUCUUGUCACAAAGUGACAAGUGCCCUUUCUUUUUUUCUUAAUAGUGUCUUUAAAUGAACUGGAUUUUUAAAAAUUUUUGUGAAGUCUGCUUUAGAUCUUUUUCUUUUAUGCCCCGUGACUUUGCAUCCUAAGACAUUUCUGCCCUCCCCAUGUCGUGAGUUGCCCUUUUCUGGUACUUGUUCAACUGCUCCACUGUAGCAACCUUGUGGCUUGUCCUUUGUCAUCUGCUGAAAAGGUUCCACCUCCAAAAUCACAAGGUGAGCGUCCCUCUGUCUUCCCUCAGUUUGUUAUCCUGCUAUUGACAUUAUUAGCAUCUUCUUUCCAUUGGUCACUGUUCCUUCUCUUCCUUGGGGCCCAGGGAGAGGCACAGCUCCUGGGGGUGGGAGGGUGUUGCUACAGUGUGCAUCCAGAUGGAGCAACAUGGUGUCCACCUGUACAGAAUGUGAAUAUUCGCUGCUGCAGCCUCCCCUCAGGCAAAGCAGGUGAUCUGGAUCUCCUUUGAUUGCUAUGUCCCUAAGCCACACUGUUUAUUUUCACAUUGCCUCUUUCUCAGUUUCUCCUGGCUCUUUUAGCAAGGAUAAUUGCAGCAUGUUAGAAAUCUGUGCACUGUUUAGGGCAACACAUAUUCUCAAGGUUCAUUUCCCCUUGUUUAUCUUUUAGUUAGGGUAUUGGGAGGACUGAGGAGGGAGAAUGAAUGGAUUAUUUGCAAAGCUCCGAAAGCUAAGGAAAACUGACAAGUAAAGAAGCAGCACCUGGGCCUACGAUUAAUGGGUGACUUUUAUUCACAUUGGCCUCAAAUAAAGAUCAGAAGCUUUGAAGCCCUGGGUAGUUCAUAUGAUGUGGCUUCAACAGAAAGCUUUCUACAAGGCGCUGUGCCAUUUAGAAGAGAAAAGCAGGUACUGCGGAAUGCAUUCUAGCAAGAGAGGUGCCAGGAGAAUAGAUCUUGCAAACCAGGAAGGUUGGUUGCCCUCCCUCUCCCCACACUCUUGACAUUGUCUUCCCUAAGCCAAAUUCACUUAGGAAGGAGAAGAAAAGGGACUUAGUUACUAUAGUCCAUCAGGGUCAGCCUUUGAACAUAGGAUGGAUAUGGAAGGAAAAACAUAAACUCUGUACCAUGCAAUGCAUAGGAUGAUCUUUAGGGUGGUAAACUCCAAACUACCUGGUUCUAUAUUGUAGCUGUUCAAGUUGCAAAAUUGUUUUAGGGGAACCCUUACUACUAGUAAUUUAGAAAACUUAGGCUCCCUUUGGAUCAGAUGGAAUAAAUUUUGGCAACUCUGCAUCACUGGCAAUUCAGGAGAGGAGCUGGGAAUACUGCCUGGGAAAGGAAACCUUGGUUUGAAUCCUGCAUCAUAGAGACAAUGUGAGGAGGCCCAGACAGAGCUAGAACAGGAGAGUUUAAUCAUAGGCUGCCAGUCCUCGGCUCCUGGGCAGAUGCCCAGCAAGGACCCUGCAAGCAGUAGGGGAGGAGGAGGGAGAGACAAAGAUGGAUAUCAUGGGUUCCAGGACUGCAGGAAGCCUUCAGGAGGUUCACAGCAGCACCGUGGCAUCACUGGACAGCUCUCCAAUAAGGAGCAGUGAGACAGGGGUGGGAGACACUUCAGCUCUCAGCCAGGGGUACCAAGCCUGAGCCCAAAGGCACAAUGAUUCUUCCUGAAGCUGCAUCAUGAGCCCCAGACUUUUUUCCUGGAGAUACUGUGCCUGAAUCCUCCACUUUCCCCUAGGAAGGCACCCCAGACUCUCUCAUUCUGCUCUUUCUCUGUCAGCUUUCUUCCACGUAGAGGCUGGAUUCAACCAAAUUCCAAAACAUUUGAUCAAUACAAGACAAUAGCAAAUAACACAGAUGUUUUCCUAUACCUGGGCACCUCAGUGUGUCCUGGUUCCAACAGGCCCUGAGUCAGGACCCACAGUUCCUCUUAGUUUUAUCAAAAUGUGCAGAAAGCAAAAGGAAAUGCCCCUGUCAGAUUUUCAGCUCAGCAGUGAGCGGAGCGAGAGCACCGUGGAGCUGGGAAAGGCAGCCAGGCAUCCCUCUGUUCCUGCAUCUUGCACAGCCCCCAGAGUCACAGAUGUUCUGUGCAGAGUCCUAGGCUUGGCGCUGGCAGGCAAUGCAGGGCCUUCUACUCAGGCCUUUCUUCUUCAAGGUUUUGCUCCUUCAACUGGGUCAAAGGCAUUUUGGUGUCCUGCUGAGCUCAGCACACACCCAACCUGAAGAAGCCAAGCUCGCCUGUGUGCACCAAAACUUUCCUCCUCUCCACUAGCACCUUCUGUAACUUGUCCAGUCCAGGUGUUCAUUAGGAGAGCGAGCCCUUAAGGUGUGCUAGAUUCUCUGUAAACACAAAAUGUUUUUAAUGUUUUACAACAAUCAUGCAAAUAAAUAUUCUUAUUUCCUUCUUAUAGGUGAGAAGCUCAGGGACCAUAAGCCAUUUCCCCCAAUGCCUCAUGAGUUUUCAGAAGCAGAACUUGGAGACAGACUUGUCUAUGUGUACAAAUUCUGUAUAUCUUCCACACACUCCGCUGCUCCAUCAUUACCCUCUGCAUCCUGGCCCGCAAGAGGAAGUCCCAGCGCUGCCCUCCUGCAUCCAGCUGUGCAGUAGAAACCUCGACAGUCAUCACAGGUCAUUGCCACAGCCCCUUUCUGACCCUCCGAGGAGCAUAUGAUUUUACACUGAUUCUUCUUCAUUUUUUGUUGUCCUCCUGGGCUCUCCUGUUCUGCAGCUUGUGUGUUUAUCUCUUAUUGUGCACUUUUAUGU
rnacentral:lncRNA from 1 species